GGCAGACGGGUGAGUAACACGUGGGAACGUGCCCUUUGGUUCGGAACAACUCCGGGAAACUGGAGCUAAUACCGGAUAAGCCCUUCGGGGGAAAGAUUUAUCGCCAAAGGAUCGGCCCGCGUCUGAUUAGCUAGUUGGUGAGGUAAUGGCUCACCAAGGCGACGAUCAGUAGCUGGUCUGAGAGGAUGAUCAGCCACACUGGGACUGAGACACGGCCCAGACUCCUACGGGAGGCAGCAGUGGGGAAUAUUGGACAAUGGGCGAAAGCCUGAUCCAGCCAUGCCGCGUGAGUGAUGAAGGCCUUAGGGUUGUAAAGCUCUUUCGGCGGGGACGAUAAUGACGGUACCCGCAGAAGAAGCCCCGGCUAACUUCGUGCCAGCAGCCGCGG
rnacentral:rRNA from 1 species